rnacentral:rRNA from 1 species
UACGGGGGGGGCAAGCGUUGUUCGGAAUUACUGGGCGUAAAGGGCUCGUAGGCGGCCAAGUAAGUCAGACGUGAAAUCCCUCGGCUUAACCGGGGAACUGCGUCUGAUACUGGAUGGCUUGAGUUUGGGAGAGGGAUGCGGAAUUCCAGGUGUAGCGGUGAAAUGCGUAGAUAUCUGGAGGAAAGCCGAUGGCGAAGGCGGCAUCCUGGACCAACACUGAAGAUGAGUGAGCGAAAGCCAGGGGAGCAAACGGG